UACAUUGGGCCACCUGUGUAAUUUCUUGAUUUUGAAAUCAGCUGAUUACAGAUCUUAACUCCAUCUGCAACCUUAAAUCCCUGUGGCCAUGUAAAUUUACAUAUAAAUUCACAGGUUCUACAGAUGAGGAUCCAGCUAUAUUUGGAGAAUAGAAUCGUGUUCCCAAGAGCAUUUCUGGGAACACUCCCUGCCAGCCUGACAUACAAAUAGGAUCCAACAGAAGCGCCUGCUUCACAGGUGAACACAGCAAGAAGAGAUGAGAGAGCACUACAGCCACCAAAGGUCCUGAGCUGAGUGCAGAUCUCAUGGCCCUCUGGCUUUCUUCAAAGCAUUAGCAGCUGGAUCAGCUACAGAAGAGCAAGUCACCCAGGUUCAUGUCAUCAUGCAUUAGGCUCCCCAUCUGGGAAAUGGGCCCAUCAUCCUGGAACCUCCAAGAACAAAGAUAUGAAUACCAUCUGCGCUGUACAGAGAAUGUGACAUCACCCAAGAACA